rnacentral:rRNA from 1 species
UCGAGCGAUUCUCUUCGGAGAAGAGCGGCGGACGGGUGAGUAACGCGUGGGUAACCUGCCCUAUACACAUGGAUAACAUACCGAAAGGUAUGCUAAUACAGGAUAAUAUGAGAAAGUCGCAUGGCUUUCUUAUCAAAGCUCCGGCGGUAUAGGAUGGACCCGCGUCUGAUUAGCUAGUUGGUAAGGUAAUGGCUUACCAAGGCGACGAUCAGUAGCCGACCUGAGAGGGUGAUCGGCCACAUUGGAACUGAGACACGGUCCAAACUCCUACGGGAGGCAGCAGUGGGGAAUAUUGCACAAUGGGCGAAAGCCUGAUGCAGCAACGCCGCGUGAGCGAUGAAGGCCUUCGGGUCGUAAAGCUCUGUCCUCAAGGAAGAUAAUGACGGUACUUGAGGAGGAAGCCCCGGCUAACUACGUGCCAGCAGCCGCGGUAAUACGUAGGGGGCUAGCGUUAUCCGGAAUUACUGGGCGUAAAGGGUGCGUAGGUGGUUUCUUAAGUCAGAGGUGAAAGGCUACGGCUCAACCGUAGUAAGCCUUUGAAACUGAGAAACUUGAGUGCAGGAGAGGAGAGUAGAAUUCCUAGUGUAGCGGUGAAAUGCGUAGAUAUUAGGAGGAAUACCAGUUGCGAAGGCGGCUCUCUGGACUGUAACUGACACUGAGGCACGAAAGCGUGGGGAGCAAACAGGAUUAGAUACCCUGGUAGUCCACGCCG